UUUUGUUUUGUUGUCUAAAUUAAAUUGUUUAAGUGUAAUUAAUUAAUUGUUAAAUAUUUACAUACGAGUUUCCUAAUCAAAAAUUUUGACUACAUUAAUUUGUUAAAGAUAAUUUUGAAAACUUUUUCUUUUUCCUUUUGCUUUUUCUUUUCUCUUGGCUGUUUGCUAAAGAAACCUAAAAACUGUUUUUGCAUUGCUGUUCGAAUUGACGAUAAAUGCUUCAAGUCUUAUUCUUGUUGGUUGUUUGUGCGUUUUCCCUUUUGUUUUGGAAGUAUUUGAAUACAAUGAAACGA